GAUGAACGCUGGCGGCGUGCCUAAUACAUGCAAGUCGAGCGAACAGGCGAGGCGCUUGCUGGGCGGACGUGAGCGGCGGACGGGUGAGUCACGCGUGGAUAACGUACUUAAAAGACGGGGAUAACUUCGGGAAACCGGCGCUAAUACCGGAUAAGAUAUUGAACCGCAUGGGGCGAUGGUGAGAGACGGUGUUGCGGGCACGUAUAGAUGGAUACCCGCCGGAUGAGCUGGUUGGGAAGGUAACGGCUUACCAAGGCAACGAUGCGUAGCCGAGGUGAGAGAGUGAUAGCCGACAUUGGAGCUGAGACACGGUCAAGACUCCUACGAGACGCACCAGUAGCGAACCGGCCGCAGUGGGCGAAAGCUUGACGGAGCAACGCCGCGCCAGUGACGAAGGUCCUCGGUUCGUAAAACCCUCUUAUUAGGGAAGAACCACUGUGUAAGUAACCGAGCACGUCUUGACGGUACCUAGUAAGAAAGCCACGGCUAACUACGUG
rnacentral:rRNA from 1 species